rnacentral:rRNA from 1 species
AGUGAAUAGAUACCCGGGUAGUCCACGCCCUAAACGAUGAACACUAGUCGUCGCUCUGCUAGUCAGGGCGGUGAUGCACUUAACAGGUUAAGUGUUCCGCCUGGGGAGUACGGUCGCAAGAUUAAAACUCAAAGGAAUAGACGGGGACCCGCACAAGUGGUGGAGCAUGUGGUUUAAUUCGAAGAUACGCGAAAAACCUUACCUGGCCUUGACAUUGAUAGAAUCCUGUAGAGAUACGGGAGUGCCCUUCGGGAGCUUGAAAACAGGUGCUGCACGGCUGUCGUCAGCUCGUGUCGUGAGAUGUUGGGUUAAGUCCCGCAACGAGCGCAACCCUCAUCCUUAGUUGCCAGCAGGUUAAGCUGGGCACUCUAGGGAGACUGCCUUCGCAAGGAGGAGGAAGGUGAGGACGACGUCAAGUCAUCAUGGCCCUUACGGCCAGGGCUACACACGUGCUACAAUGGGGUCGUACAGAGUGUUGCGAUACCGCGAGGUGGAGCCAAUCACUUAAAGCGUCUCUCAGUUCGGAUUGUU